rnacentral:lncRNA from 1 species
CCUGGGCCUGCCCUUAUCCGGAGCUGCACUCUGGCUCUCUGCAUCUGCAGAGACCAGAAGAGGAUGUUGCAUCCCUGGGGCCUGGUGUUACAAGCAGUUGUGAGCUGCCCAGCACCGGAGCCGGGAACUGUACACUGCUCCACUGUCUGAGAAAGGAUGAGCUCUGAACCACUGAACCAUCUCUUCCAUAAAUACAUUUUCAAAGCACGUUUGUGGGCUGACUGGACAGAUCUGUGAUUAAAUGAAUGACAAGCACAG